CUUAAUAUAUUCCCCUUAUCAAGAAGGUUGGAAAAGCUCAAUGGGUGUGCUCGGCUGCCGUCAGGACACUGUCAGCAGCAAGGGAGCCACUGUCAGCAGGAAGGGAUGAGGCUACGGUCAUGCACAUCGCAAAACAGUUUAAGAUAAAGAUAGGGAUCGCCUAUUCAUUGGUAAACUGAAAAACAAAUUCAAAUUUUUGAGCCAUCAAAUCUCUAUCCAACGGCCAGGAUCACGCCGCCACUCUUCGUUUUCUUCCUCCCGUUGUCCCGCACCACCUCCCAGCCCAGCCCUAACCAUUAAC
rnacentral:lncRNA from 1 species